CAUAGGUAGUGGCUUGGUUAAAGGAACCCAUUGGAGCCGUAGCUAUAGCGAGUCUUCAUAAGGCAAUUGUCACUGCUUAUGGACUCGAAUCUAGGUGAUCUAUCAAUGACCAAGAUGAAACUUUGGUGAAACUAAAUGGAGGUCUGAGUCAAUUGAUGUCGAAGAAUCAGCAAAUGAGUUGUGGUUAGAGGUGAAUUGUCACUCGAAUCCAAAGCUAGUUAG
rfam:Populus trichocarpa scaffold_4_contig_146, whole genome shotgun sequence.